ACCCAGUCCGCGAGGGCCGGACGGACUGC
rnacentral:sRNA from 1 species